AUGAAGAACUUCAUCAAAUCUCAAGUGCAGCCUUGUCUGAUAUGCCAGCAAGCUAAACCUGAGCGAGUACAGUACCCUGGACUCUUAUCCCCUCUCCCAGUUCCUUCCAAAGCAUGGGAUACAGUCUCUAUGGAUUUCAUAUCAGGUCUUCCCUCUUCAUAUCAGUACAACUGCAUAUUGGUGGUCAUUGACAAAUUUUCCAAGUAUGGCCACUUUAUGGGGCUCACACAUCCCUUUAAUGCACAAAAGGUUGCUGAGAUCUUCUUGGACAAUGUUUAUAAGUUGCAUGGUAUGCCUAGGUUGAUCAUUUGUGAUAGAGAUCCCAUAUUCACAAGUGCAUUUUGGAAGAUUCUUAUUUCCAGAACUGGUGCUGAACUAAACAUGAGCAUAGCUUAUCACCCUGAAACUGAUGGGCACACAGAAAGAGUUAAUCAACAAAUUGAAUGUUUCUUGAGAUGCUUUAUCAGUGCUCACCCUGCUAAAUGGAGUAAAUGGCUCUCUUUCUCUGUGAGUUCUGGUACAACACUAACUGGCAUUCUGCCCUGA
rnacentral:rRNA from 1 species